AGAGUUUGAUCCUGGCUCAGGAUGAACGCUAGCGGCAGGCCUAAUACAUGCAAGUCGAACGGGAUUGGGGAGCUUGCUCCCCAUGAGAGUGGCGAACGGGUGCGUAACACGUAUGUAACCUACCUUUAUCUGGGGGAUAGCCUCUCGAAAGAGAGAUUAACACCGCAUAACAUUGCUGACCGGCAUCGGCUGGCAAUCAA
rnacentral:rRNA from 1 species